UACGGAGGGUGCUAGCGUUGUUCGGAAUCACUGGGCGUAAAGGGCGCGUAGGUGGCCUGAUAAGUAGGAGGUGAAAUCCUGGGGCUUAACCUCAGGGCUGCCUUCUAGACUGUCCGGCUCGAGCACAGUAGAGGCAGGUGGAAUUCCCGGUGUAGCGGUGGAAUGCGUAGAGAUCGGGAAGAACAUCGGUGGCGAAGGCGGCCUGCUGGGCUGUUGCUGACACUGAGGCGCGACAGCGUGGGGAGCAAACAGG
rnacentral:rRNA from 1 species